GUGGAUUAGAUACCCUGGUAGUCCUGGCCGUAAACGAUGGAUACUAGGCGUAUCGGGUAUCGACCCCUGAUGUGCCGCAGCUAACGCGAUAAGUAUCCCGCCUGAGUAGUACGGCCGCAAGGUUGAAACUCAAAGGAAUUGACGGGGGCCCGCACAAGCGGUGGAACAUGUGGUUUAAUUCGAAGCAACGCGAAGAACCUUACCAGGGCUUGACAUGGUAGGAACCUUUAGGAAACUAGAGGGUGCCCGCAAGGGAGCCUAUACACAGGUGGUGCACGGUCGUCGCCAGCU
rnacentral:rRNA from 1 species